rnacentral:rRNA from 1 species
UCGAUGAAGAACGCAGCGAAAUGCGAUAAGUAAUGUGAAUUGCAGAAUUCAGUGAAUCAUCGAAUCUUUGAACGCACAUUGCGCCCGCUGGUACUCCGGCGGGCAUGCCUGUUCGAGCGUCAUUUUGACCAAUCAAGCUCUGCUUGGGCCUUGGGGCACGCUAUACCAGCGGCUCUUAAAAUCAGUGGCGGUGCCGUCUAGCUCUAAGCGUAGUAAUUUUUCUCGCUAUAGUGUUAGGCGUCCACCCGCCAGAACCCCCAACUCCUCAAGGGUUGACCUCGGAUCAGGUAGGGAUACCCGCUGAACUUAA